UACGUAGGGUGCGAGCGUUGUCCGGAAUUAUUGGGCGUAAAGGGCUCGUAGGCGGUUUGUCGCGUCGGGAGUGAAAAUCCAGGGCUUAACUCUGGUCUGGCUUCCGAUACGGGCAGACUAGAGGUAUGCAGGGGAGAACGGAAUUCCUGGUGUAGCGGUGAAAUGCGCAGAUAUCAGGAGGAACACCGGUGGCGAAGGCGGGUCUCUGGGCCGAUACUGACGCUGAGGAGCGAAAGCGUGGGGAGCGAACAGG
rnacentral:rRNA from 1 species